rnacentral:rRNA from 1 species
AAAUUGAAGAGUUUGAUCAUGGCUCAGAUUGAACGCUGGCGGCAGGCCUAACACAUGCAAGUCGAACGGUAACAGAAAGAAGCUUGCUUCUUUGCUGACGAGUGGCGGACGGGUGAGUAAUGUCUGGGAAACUGCCUGAUGGAGGGGGAUAACUACUGGAAACGGUAGCUAAUACCGCAUAACGUCGCAAGACCAAAGAGGGGGACCUUCGGGCCUCUUGCCAUCGGAUGUGCCCAGAUGGGAUUAGCUUGUUGGUGGGGUAACGGCUCACCAAGGCGACGAUCCCUAGCUGGUCUGAGAGGAUGACCAGCCACACUGGAACUGAGACACGGUCCAGACUCCUACGGGAGGCAGCAGUGGGGAAUAUUGCACAAUGGGCGCAAGCCUGAUGCAGCCAUGCCGCGUGUAUGAAGAAGGCCUUCGGGUUGUAAAGUACUUUCAGCGGGGAGGAAGGGAGUAAAGUUAAUACCUUUGCUCAUUGACGUUACCCGCAGAAGAAGCACCGGCUAACUCCGUGCCAGCAGCCGCGGUAAUACGGAGGGUGCAAGCGUUAAUCGGAAUUACUGGGCGUAAAGCGCACGCAGGCGGUUUGUUAAGUCAGAUGUGAAAUCCCCGGGCUCAACCUGGGAACUGCAUCUGAUACUGGCAAGCUUGAGUCUCGUAGAGGGGGGUAGAAUUCCAGGUGUAGCGGUGAAAUGCGUAGAGAUCUGGAGGAAUACCGGUGGCGAAGGCGGCCCCCUGGACGAAGACUGACGCUCAGGUGCGAAAGCGUGGGGAGCAAACAGGAUUAGAUACCCUGGUAGUCCACGCCGUAAACGAUGUCGACUUGGAGGUUGUGCCCUUGAGGCGUGGCUUCCGGAGCUAACGCGUUAAGUCGACCGCCUGGGGAGUACGGCCGCAAGGUUAAAACUCAAAUGAAUUGACGGGGGCCCGCACAAGCGGUGGAGCAUGUGGUUUAAUUCGAUGCAACGCGAAGAACCUUACCUGGUCUUGACAUCCACGGAAGUUUUCAGAGAUGGAAUGGUGCCUUCGGGAACCGUGAGACAGGUGCUGCAUGGCUGUCGUCAGCUCGUGUUGUGAAAUGUUGGGUUAAGUCCCGCAACGAGCGCAACCCUUAUCCUUUGUUGCCAGCGGUCCGGCCGGGAACUCAAAGGAGACUGCCAGUGAUAAACUGGAGGAAGGUGGGGAUGACGUCAAGUCAUCAUGGCCCUUACGACCAGGGCUACACACGUGCUACAAUGGCGCAUACAAAGAGAAGCGACCUCGCGAGAGCAAGCGGACCUCAUAAAGUGCGUCGUAGUCCGGAUUGGAGUCUGCAACUCGACUCCAUGAAGUCGGAAUCGCUAGUAAUCGUGGAUCAGAAUGCCACGGUGAAUACGUUCCCGGGCCUUGUACACACCGCCCGUCACACCAUGGGAGUGGGUUGCAAAAGAAGUAGGUAGCUUAACCUUCGGGAGGGCGCUUACCACUUUGUGAUUCAUGACUGGGGUGAAGUCGUAACAAGGUAACCGUAGGGGAACCUGCGGUUGGAUCACCUCCUUA